AGCAGGAUCUAGCAAUAGAUUGCUGGCGACCGGCGCACGGGUGAGUGACACGUAUCCAACCUGCCGAUAACUCGGGGAUAGCCUUUCGAAAGAAAGAUUAAUACCCGAUGGCAUAAUUAGACCGCAUGGUUUGAUUAUUAAAGAAUUUCGGUUAUCGAUGGGGAUGCGUUCCAUUAGGCAGUUGGUGAGGUAACGGCUCGCCAAACCUUCGAUGGAUAGGGGUUCUGAGAGGAAGGUCCCCCACAUUGGAGCUGAGACACGGCCCAGACUCC
rnacentral:rRNA from 1 species